UCAGGUGUUACGGAUGUUAGAAGGAGACGUUUUCAUGAACCCAAUGUAAAAUAAUAAUCUUUGUUUCUCCUCAUCUAUUACUCAGCCACUUAAAUACCCAGAGACAACAAUAUUUGUGAAAAUAUUUUCCUUAAAAUUGGAAUAAACAUCAUUAUUGUGUUGGGUUUUUGAGACUAUUUAGUUAAAUAAUACUCCUGUCUUUCUCCUUUACUACUUUAACGUAGAUGAAGUUAAAUGAUUUAGGUUUGAGAUAACCAUAAGGAGCCCAUUAGACCAUCCCCAACGGAGGAUGUAAAUGAAUCCUUAGUACAUAAUCCUAAGCAAAUACCAAUACAAUAAUAAUAUAAAACCUAAAUAAGCUAAGGAACAGUCUUUAAUUAAGGAUUAAAAUGAAUGAAUCUUUGUUGACGUGGUCUUUUUCCUUUUAGCGUUUUCUGUAGUUUCUUUCUAUGUCACUCUCUUUUGAAGAUGGGAGCAAAUGGUCGGUGGCUGCUCUCCCCUGUCUUAGUCUUCCUCCUCCACUUUCAUUGCCACUACUACUUUGUCUUCUCCUACAUCUCUCUUUCCAAGAAGCUUCCUUAUCCAGUGCCCUUUAAAUCUGAGAAAGCCUGCAACUUUAAGGUGUCUGAGCUCACUAACGAUGGAAUCCCCGAAACCCAUCCUCGAUUUCGAAAAGUUCGACAAUGGGUUUGUUCAGAAACUCAUCUACGAUGCUCUCGUUUGGUCUUCCCUUCAUGGCCUUGUCGUCGGUGACAAAACUUAUCAGAGAUCAGGAACAGUUCCAGGGGUUGGGAUGAUGCACGCCCCCAUCGCAUUGCUGCCGACUCCAUUCCCUGAAAGUUACUGGAACCAAGCUUGCGAAGUUGCUCCCAUCUUCAACGAGUUGGUUGAUCGUAUCAGCUUGGAUGGCAAGUUCAUACAAGAUAGUCUCUCCAGGUUUUAGCAUUUGCAAAAUAGUCCCAGAACAGCUAUGUUUGAGAGGAAGAAGUCUCCUAAUCGACUUGUUGUCGACGAAGCCAUCAAAAGAAUCUGAGUUUGUGUAUCCUCCUUUCGAUUUCUAUUUUUUGUUACUGCUGUGUCGAUUUCGUUUCACAUAUGACAUCGGAUAAUGGCGUUGUUCUGGUUCAAACUUGUUAAUGAAGUAGAUAGAUUCAUUGAAGCUUCACUUGAAAUUGAGAUGAGAAAUUGUGUGAUUUGAUAGAUAGAUGCAUGUGUAUGAUGAAUUUGAAUGUUCUGGCAUGCUCACAAGGAUCUCACAUGCUCUGAAAUUUAGUGCUCAACUGAAGUUUGGGACAAUUGGAGUUGCUGAACACAGCGGCACUUGGAGUUGCUUGGAAAAAUUAUUCAGCAGGUUAGCAAAACAUAUCAAUAACUAGUAUGUAUCUCUGUUUUGUCAGUCUCAUUGUCUGAGUUUGGAAACUUUAGUUUUGAUGGGAAAAUUGGUAACGCUCAUUCAUAACAGCAAACUUUGAAAAAGAUUGAGAAAUCUUUCAUACACAUUUGGUCAUACACAUUUGAUCAUAUUACAUGUUUUAAAAAAAAAAAUUUAUUCCUAAGGACUCCAAAUUGGAGAACACCAUUGGACAUUCUAUUUUGAUUAGAGUCCUUAACUAUUCUAAAAAAAAAAAUUAGUUUAAUAAUCAUAAGGACUCCAAUGGUGGUAACACCAUUGGAGAUGCUCUAAUUACAGAGAACAUCUAUUAUAAAAAUAUCUAUUUUUGUAGCUAAUAGACAAAUAGGUAAGAGGAUAUAUCUGUAAAACAAUCUUUUACAAAAAAUCUUUUACAAAAAUAUCCAUUUGUGGGUAUUUGCUGGCACAUAAGUUUUUGGGACAAACAAUCUUUUACAAAAAUAUCCAUUUUUGUAGCUAAUAAACAAAUAGGUAAGAGGGUAUAUCUGUAAAACGACUAUAAAACCAUUUUGCUAGUGACAAGUGUCCCCAAAUGUGACAAAACUUCAAAAUGUGUAGUGUAAAUAACUCAUACUAAAAGGGCUAAUAAAGUCAUUUUUCUUAUGACCUAACUAGGCUACACAUCAAAUAAAUUUUAUAAAUAGAAGUUGACAACAAGAUGUUUAUAGUGUAGUUCCCCAUAAAAUAUAACUAGACAUUGAUCCGCGCGUCCGCGCAGAUGAUAUUUUAAUUUGCAAUGUCAAUUUUUUUUUAGCAAUUUGUUUUGAUAUAGUUGUAUAUAUGUAACCAUGUUAAUUAGGGAUGGGUUUUUCGGUUUAAUUUUGAAUUCGGCUUGGUUUAUUUGGGUCUAGAAAAACUUUAACCAAAGUCAACCCAAAUUAGUUUAGUUUGGUUUGUGCUUGUUUAGUUCAUUUGUGUUGAUUUUUUAGUUUUUUCUAUUCCAGUUACAAAAAUAUAAACAAAUCAUCAUUUGACAUGAAAUCAUUAUUUUUUUUUCAUUUUUAAACAUAACGUCAAACAUCACAAUAAGCACGUAGAAGAUGUAAUCUAAUAGUUUUAUGUUGUUAUCAUUAAACCUAAGAUCAAUAUCAUAGGUAAUUUUUCAAUUGUGAUAUUAAUGUAAGAGAUUCAUAUUCUUUUAUUUUAUUUUUAGUUGCGUUUUACUGUUAAUUUUGAAGUAAAAUAUAAAUUAUAUUUAAUUUUUUAGGUUAAAUGGUUAAAUAUAUAAAAUCUUAAUAUUAUUAGUAUAUUUAAUUAAUCUAAUUUAAAAAUACUUCAGUUUUUUGGUUCAAUUUAAAACCGAACCAUUUGGAUUCAUAAAAUCUUCAACGAAAUGAUUUAGACAUAUACUUUAGUUUGGUUUGGAUCGGUUUGGAUUCGGAUGGAUCUGUUUGGUUUGGUUCGGUUCGGAUUGUUUGCCCAUCCUAUUGUUAAUUAAUACUUAGUAGUGUAUUUUUUCAUCACUUAAUAAUGUAUUCUAUGGUGAUAAAAAAAACAAAUUUAUAGAUUAACAUAAGUUAUUCUUGUUAGAUAUAUAUCUUGUGUUGACAAAAAAAAUAUAUCUUGCAAAUGAAUAAUAUACAUUGUAGGAAUAUAAUAAAAAAAAUUACAACGGCAAGUAUCUUUAUUAUUGUUAUUAAAAUCAUAGCUUAAAUUUAGGGGUUAGUUAUGUUAAGUUAGUAAGAUGUUCAAUAAUUUUAGGAAUAUUUACUUGAUCUCUUAAUAACUAAAUGUACUAUAUCGAUAGGAAAAAAUUUAAUUUUUGAGUUAAUGCUAUGUCUAACUAAAUUAUGAUUUGCUUGUUAGUGGGGUAAGAAGUUAAUGGGAUUUUUAUUGCUUAAUGUAAUAUGCUGUGGAGUACUAUGAAUAAUUAGUAAAGUUAUAGAGUUAAUACCAGUGGCAUUACAUUGUAAUUAUUUAAGAAAAAUAAGGGUUGAAUCUUAUUUGUACUCUUAUUUUUAUUAAAGGUGUGCACACUUAUAUUGUUCUUUAUUAAUUUUUCUUUUCUGCUGUUAUUUAAAGAUGUGAUGUUGUUUGUUUUAUCUUUUUUCAAGCACAAGACCGUGUUGGAUGCUCUCCACGCUUUGUUGAUCAACUCUCUUGUCAUCGCACUGGUGUUCACAGCAAUAACAGCUUCAAGGAACGAUAACACCGCAACCAAGAAACCAAAUGAAAAGCCCACUGUGAAAACUGUUCGUCUUCGGUGUGUUGUUUGUUUUGUACCUAAGCUUCAAGGCGUACGAGAUUUCUAUCCCCUACAUCUGGUUCUGCUACAAGAAGACUCUCGAUGUCGUAUCCUUACUAUUGGGUCUAUCUGCCAUGGUCUUACUCCUGGUCAGCACAGAUCAGUUUACGUAUUGGGUGGCUAUUCCUGGGUGUAUCGGCGUACUAGCUUCGUUCUUCUUGGUUGGAACUCGCCCCCUAGAGUUUUUCAACAUGAUGGGUUUGAAGAUCAACAGAUGGGCCUGUUAUCCUUACUACCAUCUUACUCGUUGCAUUGCACUGCUCACGCGUAACGGUCAACAAGCAAAUGGAAACAAUGAAGAGAAUCCUCCAGCGGAUCCCCCAGAGAAUCCUUCUUCAUCUGGUUCUAGUUUGGUUUGUGCUUGUUUAGUUCAUUUGUGUUGAUUUUUUAGUUUUUUCAAGUCCAGUUACAAAAAUAUAAACAAAUCAUCAUUUGACAUGAAAUCAUUAUUUUUUUUCUCAUUUUUAAACAUAAAGCCAAACAUCACAAUAAGCACGUAGAAGAUGUAAUCUAAUAGUUUUAUGUUGUUAUCAUUAAACCUAAGAUCAAUAUCAUAAGUAAUUUUUCAAUUGUGAUAUUAAUGUAAGAGAUUCAUAUUCUUUUAAUUUAUUUUUAGUUGCAUUUUACUGUUAAUUUUGAAGUAAAAUAUAAAUUAUAUUUAAUUUUUUAGGUUAAAUGGUUAAAUAUAUAAAAUCUUAAUAUUAUUAUUAUAUUUAAUUAAUCUAAUUUAAAAAUACUUCAGUUUUUUGGUUCAAUUUAAAACCGAACCAUUUGGAUUGAUAAAAUCUUCAACGAAAUGAUUUAGACAUAUAUUUUAGUUUGGUUUGGAUCGGUUUGGAUUCGGAUGGAUCUGUUUGGUUUGGUUUGGUUCGGUUCGGAUUUUUUGCCCAUCCUAUUGUUAAUUAAUACUUAGUAGUGUAUUUUUUCAUCACUUAAUAAUGUAUUCUAUGGUGAUAAAAAAAACAAAGUUAUAGAUUAACAUAAGUUAUUCUUGUUAGAUAUAUAUCUUGUGUUGACAAAAAAAAUAUAUCUUGCAAAUGAAUAAUAUACAUUGUAGGAAUAUAAUAAAAAAUUAUAACGGCAAGUAUUUUUAUUAUUGUUAUUAAUAUCAUAGCUUAAAUUUAGGGGUUAGUUAUUUUAAGUUAGUAAGAUGUUCAAUAAUUUUAGGAAUAUUUACUUGAUCUCUUAACAACUAAAUGUACUAUAUCGAUAGAAAAAAAUUUAAUUUUUGAUUUAAUGCUAUGUCUAACUAAAUUAUGAUUUGCUUGUUAGUGGGGUAAAAAGUUAAUGGGAGUUUUAUUGCUUAAUGUAAUAUGCUGUGGAGUACUAUGAAUAAUUAAUAAAGUUUUAGAGUUAAUACCAGUGGUAUUACAUUGUAAUUAUUUAGGAAAAAUAAGGGUUGAAUCUUAUUUGUACUUUUGUUUUAAUAGUUUAGAUGCCUCUGCUAGCUGUGACCGAAGAAAAAAUAGAGUGGCACAAGACCAUGUUCGAUGCUCUCCACGCUUUGUUGAUCAACUCUCUUGUCAUCGCACUGGUGUUCACAGCAAUAGCAGCUUCAAGGAACGAUAACACCACAACCAAGAAACCAAAUGAGAAGCCCACUGUGAAACUGUUCAUCUUCGGUGUGUUGUUUGUUCUGUACCUAAGCUUCAAGGCGUACGAGAUUUCUAUCCCCUACAUCUGGUUCUGCUACAAGAAGACUCUCGAUGUCGUAUCCUUACUAUUGGGUCUAUCUGCCAUGGUCUUACUCAUCCUGAUCAGCACAGAUCAGUUUACGUAUUAGGUGGCUAUUCCUGGGUGUAUCAGCGUACUAGCUUCGUUCUUCUUGCUUGGAACUCGCCCCCUAGAGUUUUUCAACAUGAUGGGUCUGAAGAUCAUUAGAUGGGCCUGUUAUCCUUACUACCAUCUUACUCGUUGCAUUGCACUGCUCACGUGUAACGGUCAACAAGCAAAUGGAAACGAUGAAGAGAAUCCUCCAGCAGCCAAUCCUGUUGGUGGAUUAACUGAGCUUCUCCAACGAUAAUUUUGAAGCAAAAGACAGAGCCCCCAAGCCAGAAAAGCUAAAGCAGCAGCCAUAGCCCAAAGAUCAGCAUUGAGAAGAGCUGCUGAAGCCGCUAACCGCCAACCACCUAAUGACCAAGAACUCCUACGUACCGGCGAAGUCGCCUCUGUCACCGACCAAGCUACUGAAAGAAACCAAUCUCGUUGAUGCUUGAACCCUAUGUCAUUUCCUGUCAUUAAGCGUAUGUCUAUCAGUUAAAUUUUUAGUUUUAUGCUUUAAUAAGUUCGAAUGUGGAUUUCAGGAUUUGUAUCAGAAGUUGUGAUAGCUUGGAGUUUUAAGUUAUCAUCGCUCUGUAUAUUGUGA